GAGUUUGAUCAUGGCUCAGAACGAACGCUGGCGGCGUGGCUAAGGCAUGCAAGUCGAGCGAAUCUAUUUGAAGGGUAACUGGAUAAUAGAUUAGCGGCGAACGGGUGAGGAACACAUGGACAAAAAAAACUAGACACAGGGAUAGCGGCGGGGAAACCCUUCGCGAAAGUGCCGGUAAUACCUGAUGACCCCAUGAGAUCGCAUGGUUUUGUGGGCAAAGUUACGGCGGUCUGGGAUUGGUUCAUGUCCUAUCAGCUAGUUGGUGAGGUAACGGCUCACCAAGGCAACGACGGGUACCGGGCGUGAGAGCGUGACCCGGCACAUCGGAACUGAGAUACGGUCCGGACACCUACGGGUGGCUGCAGCAACGAAUAUUCCGCAAUGGACGAAAGUCUGACGGAGCGACGCCGCGUGCAGGAUGAA
rnacentral:rRNA from 1 species